UUCGGGGAGAGCGUUAGGGUAGCGAGUAGGUCCGCUUUUAUCCCCAAUGAUUUAAUCAUGUGAGGGAUCAAAGAAGCCGGUUUUUGUUUUCAACAUGAAGUCGGGAUUUCUGGGGAGAUUGACACCGAGGAGCCGAGCCGGGUGCUGACUGGGAGAGGAAUGCACAGAGGAGGUUUGCAGUUGAAGAUCAACAUGUGCUGUCCGACACUGACGAACUCAAAGCAGCUCUUGUAGCUGGGGGAGGAUUGCUUGCCCUAACUCCUCCUCCUCUACCCGGCCCCCUUCCCGGGAUCGAUGA